rnacentral:lncRNA from 1 species
GUGUCACGCCCUGUGCUCACUAUCAACAUGAUUUCGCUGGAGGACUUCGGAGUUCCUGAGUCACCAUGAGACCCGUAUGCUGCUCUGUCUCUGCCCCCGGGCCCUCCUGUCCAAGCCUGACAUCUGUCCUCCUUUAAAUGAGAUGGCGAUGGGACAUCAGAUGCGUUUCCUGUGGAGACUGCGUCUGUGCUGAAAGUUCUGACUAAUGAGAACUGGAGGUUCUUCAUGCCUACCCUAAAAUCCUGCAGAAUCCUCAGGCAUCCCUGAAAAGAGACGUCGUGUUCUCAAGCGUUGGUUCGGACUCUGGUCACGAGUGAUGAUUUGUCCUGAGGCUGGCCUGUCUAACUUCGUAGAUGGGCUUCCUCCCCCUCCUGACAGUCAGCAGAGAGCUUUUUCUCCAACACCUCUGAUUUCCUGCCGCAUCCUCAGAAGCAGAACCAAGCCUGGUGGCAGCUUCAGCCUCAGGAAUGUCAAGCACACAGGUGCCUCUGGAUUUGCUGAACUCCUGCCUUGAAGACAAACCAGCUGGGUUUUAUUGCGUCUCCUUUGUCCUGCUUCCUCCUGCCUGCUCAGCUCACGCAUCUCUCACCCAAGGCUCGCCGUAGAGCACGUUGACUUAGCUUGGGCACAGGGAACAGCUGCCUGGAGGUGCCUGGGGAUGUGUGGAUUCAGGGCUGUCACCCUGUUCCCAUUUAGGCAGCUGGCCAGCACCUGGGUGAUUUUUCUGGAUUUGCCGAACACACAUGUGAAGCUGAGAGCAAAGACAGCAUGGUAGGAACAGGGAGGCAGUGGGGUGCUGUGGAAAGAGGGCUUUGGGGGCAGCCAGGCCUAGACUUUGAACCUAUGCCUACCACUUCCUAUGUGACCAUGGGUGAGUCAUUCAACCUCCCU